rnacentral:rRNA from 1 species
UACGUAGGUGGCAAGCGUUGUCCGGAAUUACUGGGUGUAAAGCGCGUGUAGGCGGGAGGCCAAGUCUGCUGUGAAAUCGCUCGGCUCAACUGGGCGGGGUCGGUGGAAACUGGUCACCUGGAGGACGGUAGAGGCGAGUGGAAUUCCCGGUGUAGUGGUGAAAUGCGUAGAGAUCGGGAGGAACACCAGUGGCGAAGGCGGCUCGCUGGGACGUUACUGACGCUGAGACGCGAAAGCGUGGGGAGCAAACAGG